rnacentral:misc_RNA from 1 species
UGCAUAAUUUGACGCACCCGCUGGCCAACAUCCCCACUCGACGCCUGCACCGCUCCUUCGAGCUUCCCGAUGAGCAGGGUAAUCUCCCCUUUGACCUCGCUGCGUUCAUUCAACUCAGCCAGCACCUUGGCCGCAGUCCCUCGCAGGAAUUCCUCGUGGACCUUGGUCAACUCGCGCGCCACAACAAUAUGGCGCUCGCCUCCCAGAACCGCGACGAUAUCUUCCACGGCCUCCCUGAUCCGGUGCGGCGCUUCGUAAAAGACCUCGGUGCGAGGCGAGGUUUUGAUCCUUUCCAGUGCUUGUUUCCGCUGUCCACUCUUGGCCGGAAGGAAUCCGCUGAACUGAAAUGAAUCCGCCGCCAAACCACUUGCAAUCAGGGCCGACAAAAACGCCGCCGCC